rnacentral:rRNA from 1 species
GUCGCCUGUUUAUCAAAAACAUAGUCGUUAGUUUUUAUUAAUGAUAGCGUCUGCUCAAUGAGUUGGCUUAAAUAGCCGCAGUACUUUGACUGUGCAAAGGUAGCAUAAUCAAUUGGUCUUUAAUUGGGGUCUAGUAUGAACGAAUGAAUGGGGGGUCGCUGUCUUGUGGGGAUUAUUAAAAAUUAUUGAGGAAGUGCAAAGACUUCCAAAGCUAAAUUAGACGAGAAGACCCUAGAAAUUUAUCAAUUUAUUUUGUUGGGGCGACAGGGUAACACUUAACUUACCCAUUAUAUGUGAACUAUGUUAAGAGAACAGCGAAAUUACUCUAGGGAUAACAGCAUAAUUUUGGGAAAGAUUGUGACCUCGAUGUUGGAUUAGGAACGGGAA